UAUCCAUGGUGGGAGCAAAGGGUUGUAACUCUUUGUAUCUCUCCCAUACUUGGUAUAAGGUUUCACUAUCAUUUUUGGCAAAUAAGGAAAUUUGCUUCUUAAGGGC
rnacentral:snoRNA from 1 species